GGUGGAUCACCUGAGGUCAGGAGUUUGAGACCAGCCUGGCCAACAGGUGAAACCCCAUCUCUACUAAAAAUACAAAAAUCAGCUGGUCCUGGUGGUGUGUGUAGUCCCAGCUACUUGAGAGGCUGAGGCAGGAGGAUCACUUGAACUUGGGAGGUGGAGGCUGCAGUGAGCCAAGAUCGUGCCAUUUCACUCCAGCCUGGGUGACAGAGAGGGACUCCAUUUCAAAAACAAAUUUGACAGGGAACAGUCACACAGUUUAGAAAGGAUUAUGCAAACCAGAAUCAAUAGUGACCUGAUGAACCGGGCUUUCUGACGAUUCUAAACCACGGAGGCUGAGGGGCCCAGCUAAACAAUGACAGCACCUCGGGGAAGUGGGUGAGAUGUGCAGCGGGCUGUGGAAGGAGGCCAGAAGGACCAGGGCCCUAGUCCAGGCUGCUGGUGAUGAGAACUAAACAGGGCGCAGGGCGACGAGCAAGUGCUGUAGUCCGAGGAGCGGCCCCUGGGCGCCAGCGCCAUGGGUGGAGGCCGUCCCUCCUAAGGCGCAGCCGGUGCAUUUGGGACCGGGGGAGCAGAUCCCGUGCCUCCCUGGACCCCGGGGUCUUGGGAUCACCCGGCCGCAGAGGCAGAGGCUUCGGCUGCACAGAAACCUGGGGUGGCCGCAGGGAAGCAGCGCCCUCAGGUGACUGGAGAGUGGGUAAGAGAAGCCCCAAGAAGGACCUCGCCCAUCCCCGUAGGCGUGGGACGGCACAGGCCGCCAGGACCCCCACGCACAGCCCAGUCUGCGGGGCGCGACCCCAAGGCCAGCAGCAGAGGACAAGGACGGGGCCAGGGCAGGGGCCAGGGUUGGCAGAGGGCGGAGGGUGGGGAGGGCGCUCUGGGGAGGUCAAGGCCAGGGCUAGGCUUUCAGGGCCAUGUCCUGGCUCCCCGCCCCUCGGGGAGACGGGGGCGGGGAGCGCUGUGAGCAGAGGGGCCCGGGUGGAGAAGGUGCUGCCGGCCAGCGGGAGGGAGGGCAGCGGGGGUGCAGCAGAAGCCCAGGUGGGGACUUGGGGUGGUCGAGGGGACCCUUGGGCUGCAGGGACUGGGGAGGGGAGCAAGGGGUAUGGCUUAGGCAGGUGCCAGGGGACGGUUGGUGCCCUUUAUUCUGAAGGGGGAUGUGCUGCCCAGGGCAGCGGGACCUGGAAUUACAUUUUGAGAUUUCCAGGAAAGUUUCAGGUGGAGGCAGAGGCUGGGCGCAGAGGAAAAUGUGGCAGUGGCAGAGUGUGGGGUGAGAGCCACGAAGAGAGGAGGUCACUGAGGUGGACAGUGGGACAGAGAGAGGGACGGGGAGAGGAACAGGAGUUUCAGAAACGUCCUGGACACAUUGGGCAGCCGUCAGCAUUGCUUUCCAUUCAUGGACAAAGCGUGGGUGCCCAGAAGAGGCCAGAAGCCAGUGCAGAAGCCCAGGCCUCCCUGCCAUCACCCGGUGCUGGCUGAGCUGCAAAUGGCUGUGCAGAGCCUCCUCCAUGCCUCACCCUGGUCUGGACCGGACCACAGGGCCCUUUGGAUCCUUUCCCAGGUCCCACGUCUGACCCACACCCAGAAGCAGCGCUUGGUGGAGUCUGCCCUGAAGAUGCACGUCCAACAAUAUGCAAACACCCAAAAGGUUAUAGGCUGUGCAUUGUGUCACAAGGGAGCACUGUGCAGCCGUGACAGAUGAGUGACAAUGUAGGGUGGUUCCCACGACCCGCUGCUGAGCACGAAGCAGGUGCAGAUGUGUAUCUGCAGCGUGUGCUCUUCAGGUAAGGGAGAUGGGGAGAGAAGCAGUUACUCGGGUGCUCUGGAGGAAGGAAAGAUAAACCAGGACCUAAAGAGAGUUGUUGCCUGCAGGGGCGGAUGGGAGUGGGGCAGAAAGAAGGGAACGGGAAUGGAGUAGCAGGGAUGGGGCGGAGCAACAUUUUUCUAAGGAGACUUUCUGUGAAGCGCCCCAUUCUUAGAAUCACAGUGAUGUUUCAUAGCCCCCCAAAAUAAUGAAGAUCAACCAGAUUGUGGGAGAAAUUCCAAAUGGAUAUAAACAGUAACAAGCAAACUUCACUGUUCAAAAGGAAUAACUUUACCAUCCUGAAUCCAGGGUGAAGGAAAGAAACGAGUAACUGUGGGCCAGGAACAGUGGCUUACGCCUGUAAUUCCAGCACUUUGGGAGGCUGAGGCAGGAUCACCUGAGGUAAGGAGUUCAAGACCAGCCUGGCCAUCACGGUGAAACCCUGUCUCUACUAAAAAUACAAAAAUUAGUUGGGCAUGGUGGUGCACACGCCUGUAGUCCCAGCUACUGGGGAGGCUGAGGCAGGAGGCCCAGGAUGUGGAGGUUGCAGUGAGCUGAGAUCACAUUCAAGCCUGGGCCACAGAGCGAGACUCUAUCUAAAAAGAAAAAAAAAGUAACUUUGGAAAAUAGGAUUUUGAUGGAUACCGUAAGUAAGUUUAAAGACAAAAAGAACUGGACAGAAUACUGGAGAUCAAGCUUGUCCAACUCGCGGCUUCUGGGCUGUGCGGCCCAGGACAGCUUUGAAUGCGGCCCAACACAAAUUUGUAAACUUUCGUAAGACAUUAUGAGAUUUUUUUGCGAUUUUUUUUUUUUUAACUCAUCAGUCAUCAUUAAUGUUAGUGUAUUUUAUGUGUGGUGCAAUACAGUUGUUCAGUGUGGCCCAGGGAAGCCAAAAGCUUGGACACCCCUGCUGUAGAUGGUGACUGUUUUUCACAUGGGUCCAGGCCAGCAGUUCUGAAAUGUAUGUACACACGAGGAUUGACCACACAGGUAAAUCUAAUCUGCAUCGGACAGUGAGAGCCAGAGGGAGGCCAAGGAAAGCCCUUGGUGUUGGGUUGGCUCCAAGGUAUCUGUGUAAACCCAUGGUUUUUACCAUGUAUAUAUGCAGGUAGAUACAGGAAUAAAUGCAGAAGCCUGCCUAUGCUUGGGCUAUUAAGUAUGCAUGUCUUUUCUAGGUCUUUAAGCUCAAAGGGUCUAGAAACGAUGAUAUCCCAGCCACAGUGAGCUCACCUUGCACUCAGAUCUUCGUUUUCUAGCACUAUUCUCCAGCGUAUGAAACUGGCAAUCCUUGGAGAACUGGUUUGUUCCAGGACUGGGGCAGACGAAAUCCUAGCUAAGCCUGGAGUACUUUGUAGACCCAGGAAAUGAGGAUGUGUUUGAAAAAGAUGGGGAAUUGUUGAAAGAACCCAGGGGCCAGCCUGAGGGAGAUCCCAGGGGCCAAACCUGGAAUGAGUCAAUGGCCAUAGCAUUGGUUUAUAACAGCAUAAAAUAAAUGUCCCCAAAUCCAUACUGAUAUCAACAGAUAACUGGAUACGGCCAGGUGGCUCAUGUCUGUAAUCCCAGCACUUUGGGAGGUCGAGGUGGGCCACUGCACUCCAGCCUGGGCGACAAGAGCAAAACUCCUGUCUUGAAAAAAAAAAUUCUUAGUAGAAGCAGGAGACUUCCAGUCAUGGGCCCACUUGGACUCCUCAGCUACGAUGGCUGCAUUCCCAGUGUCGCCCACACCCCUGCCUCCCUGGCCGCCUCCAGCAGGGCUCUGGGUCAAGCGAGAAGAGAGGUCCACUUGUGCGAGGAAGGUCCGUCUUUCUGUCUACAGGCCUGAAGAUGGACCUGGGAGAGCACGACCUCGCCACAACAUCACCAUCCUGAUCAGAGGCGAGAGGGGACAAGGUCAUAGGUGUGGAGGUGGGCAGGUGGUGUGGAGUGGAGCCUACAGAGGGGAUGGGGGUGUGUCCUGGAGUGCACAGGGUGAAGGACCCCCGCCCCUACCCCACCACCUUGGGUGCUUAACCAGAAAAGUGGAACAGCAGAACACCAAAGGGUAUGUGUGCACACAUGCACGCACGCACACACACAUACACACGCACUGCUGAAGGCCAAGACAGGCAUGGACUGGUUGACCCUAGGAGGUAGGGUAUAGAGGAUCAGAGAGUGCCCUGCAUGGGAAAGAUGGGGACCAACCAUUCCCAAGCACCAAAGACAGACUUGGAAAAUCCCAAAGAAAUACUAGAGCGCGGCCCCUGAGUAGGGCUGCUGAAGUAUUUGCUUCCUCCUCGGUCAGCCCGAGCCCUGAGGCACGGCGUCCUGCCUACCCGGUCUAAGCGCAGCACUGGGAAGUAUGAUUGUGGGGCACAGGGCAAAGCCUGAGGGGUGAUGGAAACACUCCACGUCUUGACUGGGGUGACGGUUACAUGGUGUACACGUUUGACAGUACUCACCCAACAGCAUCUUUUGAGAUCUCUCUGUUUUGCUGUAUGUAAAUUACAUCCCCCCUCCCCGCCCCUGCAAACACAGAAAUUCAGGAAGGCAGGAAAAUCAGGCAGGAGUCCUUCCCGGUCUCACUUGCCCCUGGAUGUCCCCUGUGGCCCUCCCGCUAUGACCUGACCACUUUCUCCCCCUCUGCUGGUUCAUGCACAAACACAGCCAGGCCAAGUGACUCCGUACUUUAAAAGUCCCCACGCCAUCAUCUUCCUGUCCCAGGACCCAAGCCAGCCUCCCAGGCUGCCCUUUGCUGUCGCCUUAGUCCCCUCCACGCUGUGACUGUCCCUCAGUUCGUCCUGGCCUCAGUGGCCAUGACACCUCUGAGGGGUGAGUGCUGCGGAAUGUGUCUCCAUGUUUGGCCGGACAUCAUUUCACAGGCUACACAUUUUGGCGGGAAGUGCAUGCAGUGGCGCUGUGUCCUUCCCAGGGUACCACACCAGGGGUCCACAUGUCCAAGUGUCUCAUGACUGGCAAUGUUGACCUUGAGCACAAGGGUAAGGAGGUAUCUGCCAGGUUUUCUUUUUCUUUCUCUCUCUUUUUUUUUUUUUUGAGACGGAGUUUCGCUCUGUCUCCAAGCUGGAGUGCAGUGGCGACAUCUCGGCUCACUGAAACCUUUGCCUCCCAGGUUUCAGUGAUUCUCCUGCCCUAGCCUCCUGAGUAGCUGGGAUUACAGGCGCGUGCCACCACGCCUGGCUAACUUGUGUCAGGUGUGGCACAUGCAAGCAAUUCCCAGCAGCACCACAGCCUGACACGGGGAGGCAGCACCCUCGAUAAGGCAAUGUAUACUCACAGCGACACCAGUGACUCUCUGCCCUUAGAACAUGCUGAGUGAUUCUGCAACCAAAUUCAGAAACAGGCAAAGCCAACGUCAGGUGUCAGAAGUCAGGGUCAUCCUUACUUCUUGCAGGGUGUGGGGGUUGAAUACAAGAACACUUGAGGGGAGGGGUCUGCAAAGCCGCUGCGGGUGCUGUUUCCUGAUGUGGCCAGGACAAUGAAAAGCAAGCUGUGGUCUGUUCACACGGAGGAAUGUGUGUGCACUUAGGAUUCGCUCUCCCUGCCUGGCUAGCCAGUCUCCCCAGUAACAGGUAAAUGCACAUUUUCAGGUCAAAAAAUAAAGACAGGAAGAGCUGGAAGCAGGGUUGAUUGGCACGAGCCGCUUGUUCUAGAACUAGAAGCCAAGAGCACUUUGUCCUGAUGCUGUGCUGGAUACUGUCCCUGCAGGUCCUGAGGGACCCGCUGAGGCAUCCAGAGCACAUCUCGUGGCCACAGCUCCAGUGAGGGUGGCAGAGGCAUCCCACAGAUACUGAGUAGUCCUGCGGUUGGAGGGGGCUGGCAGAUGAUGGAGGGGGCUGGCAGACAGCACGUGUGAGUGUGGGGAAAAGGCAUGGCAAACUUCAAAGCAGACACAGAAUGACACGCAGUCCAGGAAGAAGCAUUCUGCUCUGUUUCAGACUGCUGUGCAAUUGAACUAAAAUAAAACGAUGCACCCAACCUUGGCCCACUCCCCACCCUGUACAUUGACCAGACAGUCAGAGGAAGGCAGGGCAAGGACAGGUCCCUCUGAUGCAGUCUGGUGGCUGCGUUUCCGUGGUGCCUCGCCACUAUUCACUCGACUCUAGAUGUCCUUGCCCUCAAUACACGUUGAUGGCUAAAAGCAGCCUAGGGCCGGACACGGUGGCUCACGCCUGUAAUCCCAGCACUUUGGGAGGCCAAAGUGGGUGGAUCACUUGAGGUCGGGUUCAAGACCAGCCUGGCCAGUAUGGUGAAACCCCCAUCUCUACUAAAAAUACAAAAUUUGGCCGGGCAUGGUGGCACAUUCCUGUAAUCCCAACUACUCAGGAGGCUGAGGCAGGAGAAUCACUUGAAGCUGGGUUCGGGGGGAGGGGGGAAAGCAGCUUAGAAGAAUUGCAGGCCGGGCCCGGUGGCUUACACCUGGAAUCCCAAAAUUUGGGAGGCUAAGGCAGGUGGAUUGCUUGAGGUCAGGAGUUCAAGACUAGCCUGACCAACAUGGUAAAACCCUGUCUCUACUAAAAAAAAAUACAAUAAUUAGCUGGGCGUGGUGGCGGGCGCCUGUAAUCCCAGAUAUUUGGGAGGCUGAGACAGGAGAACCGCUCGAACCCAGCAGGCAGAGGUUGCAGUGAGCCAUGCCAGCCUAGGCAAUAAAGCAAGACACAGUCUCAAAAAAAAAAAAAAAAAAAUGCACAAAGGAAACAACAAGUUAGCAAGGAUGUGGCACAACCACUUCAGAAAACCAGAAGUUUUGGGCCAGGCACAGUGGCUCACACAUGUAACCCCAUCACUUUGGGAGGCUGAGGUGGGAGGAACACCUGAGUUGGAGGCUAUAGUGAGCCAUGAUUGUGCCACUGCACUGCAGCCUGGGCAAGAGAACAAGACUGUUGUCUCAAAAAAAAAGAAAAAGACAAAAUCAGCAGUUUUUAACAAGUCAUAAAUGCACUGAUGGCCAGGCAAUCCUACUCCUAGACAUUUACCCAAGACGGAUGAAAGCAAUGUCCCUGAAAAGAUUCGCACAAAAAUGUUCACAGCAGUUCCAUUCUCAACAGCUCCAGACUGGAAACAAACCAAAUGUCCAAUUUGAUUUGUCCAAAAAUCAAAUUCCAGCACAUUCAUCCAAAGGAAUAUACACAGCAUUAAAAGGAAGCAGGAGGGCCGGGUGCAGUGGCUCACGCAUGUACUCCCAGCACUUUGGGAGGCCGAGGUGGGUGGAUCACCUGAGGUCAGGAGUUCGAGUCCAGCCUGGCCAACAUGGUGAAACCCCCCAGUCUACUAAAAAUACAAAAAUUAGCCAGGCAUGGUGGCGCAUGCCUGUAAUCCCAGCUACUUGGGAGGCUGAGGCAGGAGAAUCGCCUGAACCUGGGAGGCGGAGGUUGCGGUGAGUGGGGAUCAUGCCAUUGCACUCCAGCCUGGGCAACGAGUGAAACUCCAUCUCCAAAAAAAAAAAAAAAAAAACCAAGUUUAAAAUUUUUGGAACUCCUGUUUAGUUUCUAAGUAUUACUUCACGUUGGAAACACUGGGCUUGUCUCUCUGGCAGGCACAGCUCAUACCUUACCCACUAGUGCCCUGGUUCUCAUCGGGACCACAGCAGGGGGCAGUGUCAGUCAUGAGAGGUGGCUCUUUUUAUUCUGAAAAUGGUUUCCCCUUUAAGAUUUUCAGGUUUUGGGGAAAGCGAUUCUGAGAACUCUGAAGGCUAUUUCCACGGAAAUGAGAAGAAAAAUAUUUUCCAAGGACCAAGUACCCACCGGCCACCGUGGGAAAUGUUUUCACGGCCGCUACACUGAAGUUUCACUGCCACCUAGGGAAGUUGCUAUCACUGUCACACUUCAUGAGUGAGGCGCCUGGCGCUCCAUGACUGCCUGUGGUCACACACAGGAAGGUGCUGGAGCCAGGGGUGGAACUGGCAUUCCUCCAAAGUCAACCCCCCACUCUGGGUGCGGUGGCUGAUACCUGUAAUACCAGCACUUUAGGAGGCCGAGAUGGGUGGAUCACCUGAGGUGAGGAGUUCAAGACCAACCUGGCCAAGGUGGUGAAACCUCGUCUCUACUAAAAAUACAGAAAUUAGCCAGGUGGGGUAACGGGUGCUUGUAAUCCCAGGUACUCAGGAGGCGGAGGUGGGAGAAUCGCUUGAACCCGGGAGGGGGAGGUUGCAGUGAGCUGAGAUCGCACCACUGCACUGUUGCCUGGAUGACCGAGUGAGACUCUGUGUCAAAAAAACAAAACAAAACAAACUGGCUGGGCGCGGUGGCUCAUGCCUGUAAUCCCAGCCCUUUGGGAGACCGAGGCAGGUAGAUCACCUGAGGUCAGGAGUUCAAGACCAGCCUAACCAACAAGGAGAAACGCUGCCUCUACUAAAAAAUAUAAAAAUUAGCCAGACGUGGUGGCAGGUGCCUGUAGUCCCAGCUACUUGGGAGGCUGAGACAGGAGAAUUGCUGGAACCCAGGAGGCAGAGGUUGCCAUGAGCCAAGAUCGCAUCACCGCACUUCAGCCUGGGCGACAGAGCGAGACUCUGUCUCAAAAAAAAAAAAAAACCAAAAAACACAAAGUCAAACCUUACAAUGGACUAGACUGUUGUCUCCUUGAGAGAAGACACGGCUUUCUUUGUCCUUGGCUCCCUGAACCUUGUGCGGUCCCGUCCACACAAGAGGUGCUUAAUAUAUGUGGAAGGAAUGAAUGAAUGUACAUCGAAUGAAUGAAUGAGCACACUUUGGAUGACUUGUAGGCCCAUCACAUGGGUUUGGCUGCAGAGGGUGGCUGAAGCCAGUCUUUAUGACUGCAUUUGUUGUAACCUUCCUGUACUGUGGUGAGGGGUUAGCAUUCACUCACUCAUUCACUCAUUGUAAGAAUAUCACAAAGGGUUUGUUUUUUUUCUCAACCAAUUGAGUUGUCACCAUGAUAACCCACCACCAAAUAUGUUAGUGUGAACUACCUACGAACAGGGAUGUUUUCCUACGUAACCACAUCUAGACAUAGAAAUCGGGAAAUCAGCACUGAUGUAUCAUGAUUAUCUGAUCCACAGGUCCUGUUCGAGUUUCCUCAAUGGCCCCAGCGACGUCCUUUACAGCACAAGAGUCCCUUCCAGGAUCCCUUGUUGCAUUUAGUGGUCAUGUCUCUGCAUUUAGUGUUUGCAUUUAGUGGUCUGUUGCAUUUAGUGGUCCGAGCUGUUCCUUGGAACAGCUUUUCCAUCUUUCCUUGACUUUCAGGACUUUGCCCUUGGAUGAUCACAGGCCAGGUGUCUUGUGGAGCCCCCGCCCCUCACUGCGGGUUGGGCUGACGAUUCCCCCACGAUGAGGCUCAGGUGAUGCCUCUUGGGCAGGAAGAUGGUGAAAGCGACGCAGAGCUCUCACUGCAUCCUGCCAGGGCACACAGCUUUAAUGUGGCCCAUUGGUGGUGAUGUUAACCUUGACCAUCAGAUUAACAUGGCAUCUGCACUAAAGGAAUCAGAUUAUCUGACUUCAAAUUAUACUACAGAGCUAUAGUAACCAAAACAGUAAGGUACUGGCAUAAAAACAGACACAUAGACCAAUGGAACAGAACAGAGAACCCAGAAACAAAUCUAUACAUCUGUAAUGAACUCCCUUUUGACAAAGGUGCCAAGAACAUACGUUGGAGAAAGGAUAAUCUCUUCAACAAAUGGGGCUGGGAAAAUUGGAUAUUCAUAUUCAGAAGAAUGAAAGUAGACCCUUAUCUCUCUCACCAUAUACAAACAUCAAAUCAAAAUGGAUUAAAGACUUAAAUCUGGCCAGGCAACAUGGUGAAACCCCUUCUCUACAAAAAAUACAAAAAUUAGCCAGGCAUGGUGUCAUGUGCCUGUAGUCCCAGCUACUUGGAAGGCUGAGGUGGGAGAAUGGCCUGAGCCUGGGAGAUGGAGGUUGCAGUGAGCCAUGAUUGUGCCACGGCACUCCAGCCUGGGUAACAGAGCCAGACCCUGUCUCAAAAAAAUGAAAUAAUUUUUUUUAAAAAAAGACAAAUCUAAAACCUCACACUAUGAAACUACUACAAGAAAACACUGGGGGCUAGGGGCAGUGGCUCACUCCUGUAAUCCCAGCACUUAACGGAGGCUGAGGCAGGUGGAUCACUUGAGGUCAGGAAUUCGAGACCAGCCUGGCCAACAUGGUAAAACCCCAUCUCUACUAAAAACACACACACACACACACACACAAAAUUGCCAGGCAUGGUGGCACAUGCCUGUAAUCCCAGCUACUCGGGAGGCUGAGGCACGAGAAUCCCUUGAGCCCAGGAGGUGGAGGAUGCAGUGAGCCAAGGUCACACCACUGCACUCCGUCCUGGGUGACAGAGCGAGACUCCGUCUCAAAGAAAAAGAAAAGAAAACAUUGGGGAAACUCCAGAACAUUGGUCAGGGCAAAAAUUUCUUGAGUAAUACCCUACAAGAACAGACAACCAAAGCAAAAAUGGACAAAUGGGAUCACAUCAAGUUAAAAAGCUACUCCACUGCAAAGGAAACAAUCAAAAAUGAAAAGAAAUCCCACGGAAUGAGAGAAAAGAUUUGCAAACUAACCAUCUGACAGGGAUUAAUAACCGGAAUAUAUAAGGAGCUCAAAUAACUCUAUAGGAAACAAUCUAAUAAUCUGAUUUAAAAAUGGGCAAAAGAUUUGAAUAGACAUUUCUCAAAGGAAGGCUUGCAAAUGGCAAACAGGCAUGCAAAAAGGUGCUCAGCAUCCUUGAUCAUCAGAGAAAUGCAAAUCAAAACUACAAUGAGAUAUCAUCUCACUCCAGUUAAAAUAGCUUUUAUCCAAAAGUCAGGCAAUAACAAAUGCUGGCGAGGAGGUGGAGAAAAGGGAACCCUCAUAGACUGGUGGUGGGAAUGUAAAUUACUAUAACCACUAUGGAGAACAGUUUGGAGGUUCCUCAAAAAACUGAAAAUAGAACUACCAGCAAUCAAACUGCUGGGUAUAUGACCCAAAGAAGGGAAAUCAGUCUAUCCAAGUGUUAGCUGCUCUCCCAUGUCCGUUGCAGCACUAUUCACACUAGCCAAGAUUUGGAAGCAACCAAAGUAUCUAUCAACAGAGGAAUGGAUAAAGAAAAUGUGGUACAUAUACACAGUGGAGUACUAUUCAGCCAUUAAAAAGAAUGAGACCCUGUCAUUUGCAACAAUAUAGAUGGAACUAGAGGUCAUUAUGUUAAAGAAAAUAAAUCAGGCACAGAACACAAACAUCACAUGUGCUCACUUAUUUGUGGGAUCUAAAAAUCAAAAUAAUUGAAUUCACGGACAUAGAAGGUAG
rnacentral:lncRNA from 1 species